rnacentral:rRNA from 1 species
UAGAGUUUGAUCAUGGCUCAGAUUGAACGCUGGCGGCAGGCCUAACACAUGCAAGUCGAGCGGUAACAGAGAGUAGCUUGCUACUCUGCUGACGAGCGGCGGACGGGUGAGUAAUGCUUGGGAAUAUGCCUUAUGGUGGGGGACAACAGUUGGAAACGACUGCUAAUACCGCAUGAUGUCUACGGACCAAAGUGGGGGACCUUCGGGCCUCACGCCAUAAGAUUAGCCCAAGUGGGAUUAGCUAGUUGGUGAGGUAAUGGCUCACCAAGGCGACGAUCCCUAGCUGGUUUGAGAGGAUGAUCAGCCACACUGGGACUGAGACACGGCCCAGACUCCUACGGGAGGCAGCAGUGGGGAAUAUUGCACAAUGGGCGCAAGCCUGAUGCAGCCAUGCCGCGUGUGUGAAGAAGGCCUUCGGGUUGUAAAGCACUUUCAGUAAGGAGGAAAGGUUAAGUGUUAAUAGCACUUAGCUGUGACGUUACUUACAGAAGAAGCACCGGCUAACUCCGUGCCAGCCGCCGCGGUAAUAC